rnacentral:rRNA from 1 species
UUCGGAGGGUGCUAGCGUUGUUCGGAAUCACUGGGCGUAAAGCGCACGUAGGCGGAUUUGUCAGUCAGGGGUGAAAUCCCGGGGCUCAACCUAGGAACUGCCUUUGAUACAGCAAAUCUCGAGUCCGGAAGAGGUGGGUGGAAUUCCUAGUGUAGAGGUGAAAUUCGUAGAUAUUAGGAAGAACACCAGUGGCGAAGGCGGCCCACUGGUCCGGUACUGACGCUGAGGUGCGAAAGCGUGGGGAGCAAACAGG